GGAGGAACCACCUGGAGGAGCGUCUGAGGGCUGCCCGAGAGUCCCAGAGCGCAGAAAGGGCCCCUCAGGACAGGUCGAAGAAUGGGUGAAACGGGUGGUAGAGCUUACAGAUGGUAAAAAUGGCAGUUUACUGCAUGCCUGCGAACAUCACAUCACCAGCCCGUGUCUGCCCAGGAAGGCUCCUCUCUUUGCAGCUCCUGCCCGAGCUGUGCUCACUGGUGGUCACGGUGAUCUGCCUGUCCAGGGGAGGCUCCCAAUGGGAGCACACCAAGCCUUAUGUCCUCAACUACUUUGAAAACCCAGCAGCACUGUCUCCUGUGGUUGUGGAAACUGCCUUCAGAAUGUCACAUCCCGACUCUCAACACCUGGGUCCUGAUAACUUUCGGCUCUGCCAGCGGCCCUGCUACCUGGACUGCAGAGAAACAUGAGCCCCCAGCCCAGGUUCCUGGCACACUGCAGGUGCUCCAAGAGCUUUGUGAAGGAGGAAGACGGACAAGGGACAAGCUGCAGACGAGUGAUCUCCCGAAGAUGGCUGCACCAUCUCCUGGGUGCCAGGACAGGAGAAGGCACACAUGUCAUCAUCUGGCUCCAGGAGGAAGGCCGCGGUCUGUCAGGACAGGGGUGCUGGGCCGGACAGGGGUGCUCGGCCAGAGUGGCCAUGCAGCCCGCUCCCUUCCAGCCACUUCCAGACCCACCAUCCGAUACAGGCGCCGAGGGAGCACACAGUUGUGGAAACAGAGUCUGCAAGGGCCCCCGCAGAGCACCUUCGUGUGUUCCCGUCACCCCUCAGAACAACUUCCGAGGGGGCUCUGUGAUGAUGGACAAGCCAGGACAGGGAAGCAGAGGUGCAGAGCAAGUCUACGCAGGCGGACGAGGGGCGGAGCGGGGAUUUGCCCGCAGGCAGUCUGACUUGGCCAUUUGCGGAUCUGGAUCUCUGCUCUGCCAAAUACACGCUGUCUACACUGGGUAAUUACUUGACCUCUCUAGGGCACACGGCUCUGUGAUAUCAAUGAUUGCAUGUUUACGGCACUUAGCACCUCAGAUGGCACAGAAACGCCGGGCACUGGCCAUCACUCUUCUGCCAGUUGGAAAUGAACUUCAGACGGUAGCUUCCGCUCGCGGACAGUGGCCACCUGCUCUCGUUCUCUGCUUCUUCCUCUGCCAUUCUCUGCUUCUUCCUCUGCCGCGGA
rnacentral:lncRNA from 1 species